rnacentral:rRNA from 1 species
UNGUAGGUGGUUUGUUGCGUCGUCUGUGAAAUUCCGGGGCUUAACUUCGGGGUGNCAGGCGAUACGGGCAUAACUAGAGUGCUGUAGGGGAGACUGGAAUUCCUGGUGCAGCGGUGGAAUGCGCAGAUAUCAGGAGGAACACCGAUGGCGAAGGCAGGUCUCUGGGCAGUAACUGACGCUGAGGAGCGAAAGCAUGGGGAGCGAACAGGAUUAGAUACCCUGGUAGUCCAUGCUGUAAACGGUGGGCGUUAGGUGUGGGGACCGGUUUGGUUUCUGUGCCGUAGCUAACGCAUUAAGCGCCCCGCCUGGGGAGUACGGCCGCAAGGCUAAAACUCAAAGGAAUUGACGGGGGCCCGCACAAGCGGCGGAGCAUGUGGAUUAAUUCGAUGCAACGCGAAGAACCUUACCUGGGUUUGACAUGCACCAGACGGUUGUAGAGAUACGUACCUCCCUUUGUGGUUGGUGUGCAGGUGGUGCAUGGUUGUCGUCAGCUCGUGUCGUGAGAUGUUGGGUUAAGUCCCGCAACGAGCGCAACCCUUGUCUUAUGUUGCCAGCACUUUGGGUGGGGACUCAUGAGAGACUGCCGGGGUUAACUCGGAGGAAGGUGGGGAUGACGUCAAAUCAUCAUGCCCUUUAUGCCCAGGGCUUCACACAUGCUACAAUGGUUAGUACAACGCGCAGCAAACCUGUGAGGGUGAGCGAAUCGCUGAAAGCUAAUCUCAGUUCGGAUUGGGGUCUACAACUCGACCCCAUGAAGUCGGAGUCGCUAGUAAUCGCAGAUCAGCAAUGCUGCGGUGAAUACGUUCCCGGGCCUUGUACACACCGCCCGUCACGUCAUGAAAGUUGGUAACACCCGAAGCCCAU